ensembl:lncRNA
CAGAGAGUCUGCUCUUUUGGCAGAGCGGCCACAAAUGCCACCUUUGUACACUGCCAUGCAGCUUAAAGGCAGCUGCAGAGGAGACUGCCUGAAAGUAAGCUGAAAAAAAUGUCAGCUAAGGUCAGGAGGAAAUAAGCUGCUCUGCAGUGGGGAUAAAGCCAGGCUCUGUACAUGUGGCAUGGCUGUUUGCUUCCAGCGUAAUUAACUUCCUCAGAAGAAAAGCAAGUUUUGAAGAGUGUUCUAGGAGCAGCAGGCAAGAAUUUGGCUCUUGGAUGGACGUGCAAUGCAUACCAGGAGGAGCUUUUAUUCAGAAACACAGCCCCAGAAACACCAAGUAAGUGGUGC